GACGAACCGAGCGAACGUUGUUCGGAAUCACUGGGCUUAAAGCGUGUGUAGGCGGAUCGUUAAGUACCUUGUGAAAUCCCACGGCUUAACCGUGGAACUGCUCGGUAUACUGGCGGUCUUGAGCAACCUAGGGGCGAGCGGAACAAAUGGUGGAGCGGUGAAAUGCGUAGAUAUCAUUUGGAACGCCAAUGGUGAAAACAGCUCGCUGGGGGUUUGCUGACGCUGAGACACGAAAGCCAGGGGAGCAAGCGGG
rnacentral:rRNA from 1 species